GACGAACGCUGGCGGCGUGCUUAACACAUGCAAGUCGAACGGUAAGGCCCUUCGGGGUACACGAGUGGCGAACGGGUGAGUAACACGUGGGUGAUCUGCCCUGCACUUCGGGAUAAGCCUGGGAAACUGGGUCUAAUACCGGAUAGGACCACUGCCUGCAUGGGUGGUGGUGGAAAGCUUUUGCGGUGUGGGAGGGGCCCGCGGCCUAUCAGCUUGUUGGUGGGGUGAUGGCCUACCAAGGCGACGACGGGUAGCCGGCCUGAGAGGGUGACCGGCCACACUGGGACGGUGAUACGGCCCAGACGCCUGCGGGAGGAAGCAGUGGGGAAUAUUGCACAAUGGGCGCAAGCCUGAUGCAGCGACGCCGCGUGAGGGAUGACGGCCUUCGGGUUGUAAACCUCUUUCAGCACCGACGAAGCGCAAGUGACGGUAGGUGCAGAAGAAGGACCGGCCAACUACGUGCCAGCCGCCGCGGUAA
rnacentral:rRNA from 1 species